GGUGGCACUCUGUUCGAUGACAUUCUAACCAAUUUGACCAGUCUGUUGCCUGAUUCGCUGACCCAUAUGGAAAUCAGACUGAAAAAGAUCUUGAAGACAUGAAAUUUCCAGAGAAUCUGAAGGGGAAGUGACUGCUGGCACUAGCACAUCUAGGGUUGCUGAAGAGGAUGAUGGGGAAACUAUAUGUGGUGCCUGUAGGAAGUGCUUUGGGUUAGCUGAAUACUGGAUUCAAUGCAACAUAUGUGAGCAGUGGUUCCAUGGCACAUGUGUGCAUAUAACUCCUGACACAGUUGAGCAACAUUUCAGGUGCCGUGCAUGCAGCCACUGAUUGAUCCUCGGUGACAUUAUAUAUUAGUGUGUUUGGCGGCUUAAGUUUGGUAUAUUAGUGUAUUUUGAUUAGCCUAGAUUGAUCUGCAGAGACGGUAUAUAACUAACUAGGUUGUCAGAAACUGGAGGGCUUUCAAUUUUAUAGUUAUGCCUAGUUGGCGAUUAGCUCUAUGCAGCUAGCUGACAUAGGUAUAGCUCAAGCAUCUGUUCAAACAUACACACAGACUCACUAUGUCUGUUGUGGAAACCGAACAUUGUUUUGUUCCUUCACUAUUAUGUUACUUUGCACCAAAAGUUAUGAGAUGCUGG